UAGUGUUACACGGGUAUUUACUCUAUACUUAUUAAACUGAGCAUUUAUGUUCUGUGCAUUUUAUGCACAUUUUUAGUUCUCACAGAUAUUUUUUAGUUGGGGAAAAAAUUAGAUGGCUUUACUUGUAGCACUGAUAUGGUUAUAAAUAGGGCUUCCACAAUAAAAUUUGGGAAAAGAGAGGAGGAAGUGGCAGUUCUGUCCAUGUUUUUGCCACUCAGGGCUGGGUUCUAACAGAUUUUGUGAUCCAGAGAGUAGGCAUUAAAUGUACAUUUUGGUGUGAAGAGUAGAUAGGUGUGUGUGUGUGUGUGUGUGUGUGUGAGAGAGAGAGAGAGAGAGAGAGAGAGAGAGAGAGAGAGACAAAGGAGUAUGUGAGAAGAAAAGAUUUGAAUCAAACAGCAGAGAUCACCAUCCCUACAUUAAAUAAGAAUUAGUGUAUUUGGUGGCACCAUUACCCAGGUUUCUCUCACAUCUAGCGGUCCUGUGUAGCCAAUAGUUGUAGUUAUUUUGCAUUUUGACCGAGAAAUGACCUUUUCAUUUUGCAGAAUUCUCCGUGACAAUUAUCUGACCGAAUUACGUAAAGACACAUUUGAAGGCCUGCUAUCCCUCCAGUAUUUAAAUCUUGGUUGCAAUUUACUCACCGAACUGAGCUUUGGAACAUUUCAGGCCUGGCAUGGAAUGCCGUUUUUACACAAGCUGUCCAGACCGAUGGCUUAUUUUAAAAAAUUCACUUCAUUGCUUCUAACAGUACGAGCUCCAUGAGUUUAGGAGCUGAAGGGCUCUACGAUGUAGAAAGGCUGUACCUUAUCGGGAUAGAGCACACUCACAUGCUGGCUCGUCUGUGGCGCAUCAGUGUUGUGCCAAGAACAUAAGCUCUAAGGGAGAAUGAGGAAAAUCUAAGCCUUACCCCUUUUGAAUUAUUGUUGAGAAUCUCGUUGCGGUAGGUGUGGCCACCCUCUGAAGGCAGAGUCGAGCCGCAGUCACAGAGACGCCCUAACGCUCCCCCAGUCAACCGCCAUCUGCUUCCUUUUAGACGGCUGCGUGCCCACACAAGCUUACACACUUCAGGAUAUUGUCGUCGCUUUUCGGUGUGUCCCGGAAAUCCUGGCGGCUUCUUCUCAGAGUCAGAAAGGCAUCAACGUUAAGGAUGAAGAUGGCACCUCAGGGCUGUCCUUUUGGGGUGAUUUAGGGUAACUUUUAUUAGUUCCCGUGUGUGGUAGUUCAGAAGCUUUGCGAUAGUCAUACCCCACUGUUACUUGUCUUCUCCCAGCUGCAUCGGAUUCUUCCCACGUGUAUGCCAAGGCAUCUUCUUUCUCUGGGAAGCUGGUAGUUGCUGGUAGUUGCUCCUCCGCCCCAUAUCAUUUCUUUAAUACCUACCUCUGCUAGGUAUUUACUGCGCCCCGGCACUACGCUAAGACCUUUCGCUUGUGCUGCAAGUAAGACGGUGCGUCUUAAACUCUUAGAACAGAGCCUGGCACGUGGGAAAUGCUCCGGACGUGGCCCCUCACACGGCACUUCAUUUUCGGUUUUCCAGCAACUCUUGUGAUACAGGGAGUGUCAUCCUCAUUUCGGGGAUGAGGAAGUUGAAACUCAGAGACAUCGGCUGACUUGCCUAGCUUCACACUGUCAGUAAGUGACAGCACCACUUAAGAAGCUUCGCGAGUAAUACAAUUCCGCAUUCCCCGGCACUAGGUAGGACCUGAAUGACAACCGGCCUUUUGGGCGUCGUCCCUUGGAGUCAGCUUCUCACUGGAAUAGGACCUUUCGAGCAGGGAGCUCCUUUUCCCUAUGCUUCGGGAGCUCCUGGCCAUGCCACCCAUGGGCAUCCCCAGGCUUCCUGCUCACCGCCUGGUGCAAACAUCACAUCGUCACUGCUAGGCACCCACUCUGUGCCCAGCCUUAUGCUAGGUGCUUUGCACAUGCUCUUUCCUUUAAUCCUCAAGUUGCCUUAUGAGGUAAAUGCUGCUAAAAAGACUCGGAGACGUUCGUUACUUAAGUCCCUUCACCAGGAAGCGACAGCCAGAAUUCAGACCUAGGUCUGCCUGAUUCCGGGGCCCUUGCUUCUUGGGCUGUUCCUCACUGCCAGAAACUCCUCUUCAAGGCUGUUCUCAGAACUUGCAUUAAAACAGGGGCUCACCAUUUCAGAUUCUUUAGGCUUCGCCCCUCCCCCCGCCCAACCCCUGAGAAAGGAUCUACGUGAUGCCGUUAGAUGUCUUGUAUUGAGGAGCUUCGCAUGGGGAGUCAUGUUCUCAUGGCUCAUGGACCUAUGUAGAUGAAUAAAGGAAAGGGGUUAUUCUAUCCCCAAGUACUUCAAACAUGCUGGAAUAGGGUCUAGAUCACUCUACUUAUUUCUUCAACUGCUUUCCUCCAAGGAGCCAGUUUUCCCUCCAUGCCUUGGGAUUCCAGCAUAGAGAGUUUGGAGUUUGUCCUAUUUGAAAUGUAUUUUCACUGCCUGCUUUGGACGUUUUUUCAGCCAAAGCUGUUAGGAUUUCAGUACAUUCAGGACAGUGGUGACAAGCUUCAGUCCUCAAGUCUUCUCUGUCUCCUCAGUGAGUAGAAAGGAAACGUAGCCCAUCUGUCUGGACCUCUGUAGAAGAAUUUGGAGAAAAAAAAAAUAACACAUAAGCCCACGAAUAUCCAAAAGCCAAUAGACUGAGUCAGCACACGUUUUAUCUGUAAAAUGAGGGAAUUGAACGGAAAUGGAGAUGAUCUCUAGCGCAGCGUCCACCGUUCGUGUUCGUUCGUAUCGCAGUCUGUGGAAAAACAAUUGCUGUCGGUCCAGCAGAUGUAACCUGUCAGAAUUAUCAGUCAUAACCCUCUGUCAACUGUUGAAGAUUCCUAUCUUUUUAAGUUGCCAGCAUUAAAAUAUUUAGACAUGGGAUCAACACAGGUGUCACUUACAACAGUUGAGAGCAUCCUCAUGAUGACCCUUGAAUUGGAAACACUGAUUUUACCUAGCCGUAUGGCCUGCUGUCUCUGCCAAUUUAAAAAUACUGUUGAGGUUGUCUGUAAGACAGUCAAGCUACAUUGUGACAGUGCAUGUCUGACAAAUGGCACACGUUGUGGUAAGUCCUAAUUGCCUGAUGAUAAAUUUGUAAA